rnacentral:rRNA from 1 species
AACGUAGGAGACAAACGUUAUCCGGAGUUACUGGGCGUAAAGGGCGUGUAGGUGGUGCUGUAAGUCUGGCGUGAAAUUUUUCGGCUUAACCGGGAAAGGUCGUCGGAUACUGCGGGACUAGAGGACGGUAGAGGCGUGUGGAAUUCCGGGUGUAGUGGUGAAAUGCGUAGAGAUCCGGAGGAACACCAGUGGCGAAGGCGACACGCUGGGCCGUACCUGACACUGAGGAGCGAAAGCAUGGGGAGCGAACAGG